rnacentral:rRNA from 1 species
AUGGAACCCUAUGUUGGCAUGAGGUUUGACAUCCUUCAAAUUGCUAAGGAUCACUACAACAGCUAUGCACUACGGAUGGGUUUCUCUAUCAAGAUGAACACCUCUAGAUGGACACCCCGCACCAAUGAAUUGAUAAAACAACAUUUUUGCUGCAACAAGUUCAAGAAGCCCAAAGCUGAUGAUGGAGGAGCUGAGGCUCCUUCUCAGACUCAGUGCAAGGCAAAAAAGUUGGUGAAGCUGAUAGAUGGGCGAUGGGAGGUGACACACUUUGUUCGUGACCACAAUCAUCUGCUCGUGAACAAACCUUCAUUGUCCAAAUACUUGAGAUACCACCAAGGCAUCUCACCUGAUGAAAAGGAGUUUCUGCGCAUCUUGUAUAACUGCAACUUGACUACAUGUGUGGUAUUUUUCUAUAUCCCUUAA